rnacentral:rRNA from 1 species
UCAAGCGAAAGAAUAGGUUUAUGGCGGAUGCCUAUGGAGCUGUAAGGCGAAGAAGGCCGUGGUAAGCUGCGAAAAGUUCCGUGUAGGAGCACACAUCCUGUGAUACGGAAAUAGCCGAAUGGGGUAACCCGUCAGUAGUGAUACUGACAUUACGCUCUUGAAUAAAAUAGAGAGGUAAAGCGAUACUGAGUGAACUGAACCAUCUAAGUAACUCAAGGAAAAGAAAUCAAAUGAGAUUCCGAAAGUAGUGGCGAGCGAAAUUGGAAGAGCCCAAACCCGUUAAACGGGGGUUGUAGGGCUGCACGGGCUUACGUACAGCAAGUGAUAAAGCGAAUGUAUAGCGGAAAGGUUUUGGGAAAGCCUGACAGAGAGGGUGAAAUCCCCGUACGCGAAAUACAGUCGUCUUGCCGGUGCAGUACCUGAGUACGGCGGGACACGAGAAAUCCUGUCGGAAUCUGGGUCGACCACGAUCCAAGGCUAAAUACGAGUUGGCUACCGAUAGCGGACAAGUACCGUGAGGGAAAGAUGAAAAGAACCCCGGUGAGGGGAGUGAAAUAGAACCUGAAACCAUAAACCAACAAGAUGUUACAGCCCUUUAUGGGUGGUAGCGUGCCUUUUGUAGAAUGAGCCUGCGAGUUACGGUAUGCAGCGAGGUUAAGGAAUGGUAGUUCCGGAGCCUGAGGGAAACCGAGUCUGAAUAGGGCGAAUUUCAGCGUGAGCUGAAAAAAAAGUUGCAUGUCGUAGACCCGAAGCCAGAGUGAUCUAGUCAUGAGCAGGUUGAAGCAGCGGUAAAACGCUGUGGAGGACCGAACUACAAUCUGUUAAAAAAGGUUUGGAUGACUUGUGACUAGGAGUGAAAGGCUAAACAAACCUGGAAAUAGCUGGUUCUCCCCGAAAUGCCUUUAGGGACAGCCUUAUACAAAAUUACCGGAGGUAAAGCACUGGAUGGACUAGGGGGCUUCACCGCCUACCAAACCCAAUCAAACUCUGAAUGCCGGUAAUCAACGUAUAGGAGUGAGACUGCGUGCGACAAGGUUCGUAGUCAAAAGGGAAACAGCCCAGACCGUCAGCUAAGGUCCCCAAAUACUGCUUGAGUGUGAAAUGAAGUGUGGAUACAAAGACAGCCAGGAGGUUGGCUUAGAAGCAGCAAUUCCUUUAAAGAGUGCGUAACAGCUCACUGGUCGAGUGUCCAUGCGCAGAUAAUGUAACGGGGCUAAGCAGUAUACCGAAGCUACGGGUCUUACACGAUUUAAGUGUAAGGCGGUAGGGGAGCAUUCCAUGGACUGAUGAAGGUGUACCUGAGAGGGGCACUGGAGGGGAUGGAAGAGAGAAUGCAGGUAUAAGUACACGAAAAGAAAGGUGAGAUUCCUUUCCGCCGAAAACCUCAGGUUUCCUGGGUAAAGGUCAUCUGCCCAGGGUUAGUCGGCCCCUAAGGCGAGGGCGAAAGCCGUAGUCGAUGGGAAAUCGGUUCAUAUUCCGAUACCUUUUAUAAUUUCGAUGGCAGGACGCAUGAGGCGAACCCCGGCCGGAGAACGGUUGUUCCGGUCGAAGCUUUCUGAGCCGUUAUAAAGGAUAGUAGGCAAAUCCGCUAUCCGAGGUGAGAGGUGACAGCGAGUGGAUCGAUGAGAGAAGCGAAGCGGGGCUAGUCAUGGUGCCGGGAAAUACUGUCUAAGGCUAGGUUAUAAAAGACCGUACCGUAAACCGACACAGGUAGGUAGGAUGAGAAAUCUAAGGCGCUCGAGAGAACUCGCGUUAAGGAACUCGGCAAAAUGCACACGUAACUUAGGGAAAAGUGUGGCCUCUGUUUAGUAAUGAGUGGAGGUAGCAUAAAGCAGGCCCAGGCGACUGUUUAUCAAAAACACAGCCAUCUGCGAAUCAGUAAUGAGACGUAUAGGUGGUGACACCUGCCCGGUGCCGGAAGGUUAAGAGGAGAGGUUAGCAGCAAUGUGAAGCUUUGAAUUGAAGCCCCGGUAAACGGCGGCCGUAACUAUAACGGUCCUAAGGUAGCGAAAUUCCUUGUCGGGU